rnacentral:rRNA from 1 species
AUUGAACGCUGGCGGCAGGCCUAACACAUGCAAGUCGAGCGGAUGAAGGGAGCUUGCUCCUGGAUUCAGCGGCGGACGGGUGAGUAAUGCCUAGGAAUCUGCCUGGUAGUGGGGGAUAACGUCCGGAAACGGGCGCUAAUACCGCAUACGUCCUGAGGGAGAAAGUGGGGGAUCUUCGGACCUCACGCUAUCAGAUGAGCCUAGGUCGGAUUAGCUAGUUGGCGGGGUAAAGGCCUACCAAGGCGACGAUCCGUAACUGGUCUGAGAGGAUGAUCAGUCACACUGGAACUGAGACACGGUCCAGACUCCUACGGGAGGCAGCAGUGGGGAAUAUUGGACAAUGGGCGAAAGCCUGAUCCAGCCAUGCCGCGUGUGUGAAGAAGGUCUUCGGAUUGUAAAGCACUUUAAGUUGGGAGGAAGGGCAGUAAGUUAAUACCUUGCUGUUGUGACGUUACCAACAGAAUAAGCACCGGCUAACUUCG